rnacentral:lncRNA from 1 species
GGACUUUUGAAGUUGGACUACAUAGUUUUGCAUCAUGAGAUGGCCAUGAACUUAUGUGGUCCAGAGGCCAGCUGUGGAGGCCGUCUGUUUUUCUACACCUAAAAGUCACGACAUGUGAGUACCUGACAGAAGCCUAGCGACAAGCUUCUAAGCAUUCAGCAGAGCACCGACCACGAACUGGACCGUUAGGAACAAAGGAAGAGGAUCGGUGACUGCAGGUUUGAGCAUGGUUCUAGCUAAGUACUCACGAGCAGGCUAGGGAUCUAGCUCGAGGGAAAAACUCUUGCCUAGCAUGGAUAAUGCCCACGUCUGAAUUUCCUGGUAGCACAAAAAGGGAGAGGAAAACAGAUGUGAGACUCAAUGAGAGGGAAAGAUCAAUAUAUUACUCCUAUGAUUAUUUAGGAAAUUUUUAAAAAGCAGAAAAAUGGCUUAAACGGUAGAAACGAAAUCUUAUAGUUGGACAGAGGGAGCAGUGAAAUAUGUUUUAUUGAUAUUUUCAUAGAACCAACUAUAGUGAUAGUCUCAGUGAUCACAAUGAGACAGUUCCUCUCCAAAGGUUCCAGUGUAGGCGUUUAUGUCUUCCUCCUCUAGAACACACACAGCCUUUGUGCAGACCAGAAAAAUGUUCCAUAUGGAGCUGGGCUCCAGUAGUUAUCCCUACCUGAUUUUAUACUUGAUCAGUACUUACAACAGGAAAAAGCCUUUUCAAACGGAAAGAUAUGUAUAAGCAAGGGCACUGUCCAAAAGGAAGAGGAGAGUGAUGGCUUAAAUGUCUUCCAAGAGUAAUUCUCUAAGUUGUUCCAAAAUUUUUUAUUUUAAUGAUUUUAAAGAUUGGGGGGGUGAAGUACAUAGUAGGCAUGUUUUCUUAAGUUUUAUCAGAAAGAAAACCCCAAACUAUAUGAUAAUGAAAAUGUUUCUUAUAAACUCACUUUUCGAGAGACCAGUGAGAGAUUCUUUUGCAUUCUAGAUUCUCCCCACCCCAGAGCUCUGACUUGGGAAAUUAUAUUUUCUUUUGCAUUUCCAAGUGAAUUGUGAAAAACUGGAUUUGUAUAAUAAACAAAAGCAUGAAGCCUACUGGAGCAAUCUGCUAACCAGAUGAUCACCUGGGUGAUCCGGCUGUUCCAGAACCUUAGGAGAACUACUCAUACUAUACAAUCUCGCUUUACACGUGAAAUGAUAGCCUUUGGAUAUUCAUGGUAUAUUGUAGACUGAAACUUCAGAUAUAUCAACAGGUGCACUUAAACUAACUCCAUGGGACGUAGCAAAAAUGAACAAGGUAAUUUCCACAUUAUAAAUUAAUUCACUGUACUAUUAUAGCUAUAUUCUUACCUCAGAAACUUUCGUAUUAAAAUUAUACAGAUCCUGCUGCAUAACACUUUCCACUUAUGUUCUGUUCAAUAAAUUAAGUUUUAUAUUACUAAAGAUACUAGUGAUUAAAAAAAAAAUUCAAGAGCUGGGCAGUGGUGGUGCAUGCCUUUAAUCCCAGCACUUGGGAGGCAGAGGCAGGCGGAUUUCUGAGUUUGAGGCCAGCCUAGUCUACAGAGUGAGUUACAGGACAGCCAGGGUUACACAGAGAAACCCUGUCUCGAAAAACCAAAAAAGAAAAAAAAUUUCAAAAGCUGACACAAAGAAGAAUGAGCUCGAACGUUUACUAACUACUGAUUUAUGCAAGGUUUUCAAUUGUUUAAAUCACUGUGUUGCUGUUCUUCCCAAAUUACUGACUGAUACACAAGAUCAUUAUUCAUGUUUUCACUUUAUUGAGUCUGACAAAUGGCCAGAAAACAGAUUCCUUUAUGCUAAACUACUAUUUUACUCUUUUUUUCCCCUACAGUUCAGAGAACUAUUAUUUGGGUCUUUUGGGGGAUGGGCUGAGACAGGAUUUCUCUGUAUAGUCCUGGCUGUCCUGGAACUUGCUCUGUAAACCAGGCUGGUCUCAAACUCAGACAUUUUAAUCCUUUGGGGAUUAAAAGCAUAUGCCACCAACAUCCGGCUAUAAUUUGGAUCUUUACUUUAAAAAUGCCCCUUCUACCUGGAAAAGCACAUUUUUGUCUUAGUGGGGAGUUUAAUUGGGUAUUAUUAAAAUUCAUGUUCUCCUUCACCUAACUUAUUUAUUCAACCCCAUUCUUUUUAACUUGGACUAUUCCAUUCAGAUAAAACAAAGCAGGUAGAAUAUACAGCAUCGUAAUAAGAUGCUAUAUUGUGUUGCCUUGUAUCUUUCUCCAAUUUAGUGCACAGGAAGGUUACUAUGGAAUAGAAGGACCGAUCAUUUCUGAUCUAAAAUACUGCAUGACUAACAACUAUUUUCCAUUUAAGAAGGUUGUUUUGUUUUGUUGUUUCUCUUUGAUGCUGGCUAUGAAGCCCAGAGCCUUGCAUACAAUCAGAAGGUUUAGGAAGAGGCUCAGUAAGAAAGUAUAGAAGGUUCUAUCAUUUCAAAUGAGAAGGUUACAUUGUUUUCAUCUUUGCUAGAAACUCCCUUAGAAAAUACACAUUACACUUUGUAGAAAAAGUCCUAAGCUGUGUUCCUGGAUUGAGGUGCUUUUACUUUUUGUUUUGUUUUGUUUUGUUUUAUUCGAGACAGGGUUUCUUUGUGUAGCCAUGGCUGUCCUGGAACUCAC